rnacentral:rRNA from 1 species
CAAUAGCGUAUAUUAAAGUUGUUGCAGUUAAAAAGCUCGUAGUUGAAUUUCUGGCGGGCGCGCCGGUCUUCCAAGUGUUGUACUGGGCGCAGUCCGCCAUCCUUGUGGAGAGGGCUCGCAUUGAGUUGCGUGUCGGAUCUGCAUCAUUUACUGUGAAAAAAUUAGAGUGUUUAAAGCAGGCUGUCGCUUGAAUACAUUAGCAUGGAAUAAUAAGAUAGGACUUCGGUCUAUUUUGUUGGUUGCGAACCGAGGUAAUGAUUAAUAGGGCUAGUUGGGGGUAUUCAUAUUUAAUUGUCAGAGGUGAAAUUCUUGGAUUUAUGAAAGAUGAACAACUGCGAAAGCAUUUACCAAGGAUGUUUUCAUUAA